GGGAUCCUACGGGAGGCAGCAGUGAGGAAUAUUGGUCAAUGGUCGGGAGACUGAACCAGCCAAGCCGCGUGAGGGAUGAAGGUACAGAGUAUCGUAAACCUCUUUUGUCAGGGAACAAAGGCGGGGACGUGUCCCCGGAUGAGUGUACCUGAAGAAAAAGCAUCGGCUAACUCCGUGCCAGCAGCCGCGGUAAUACGGAGGAUGCGAGCGUUAUCCGGAUUUAUUGGGUUUAAAGGGUGCGCAGGCGGUCUGUUAAGGCAGCGGUCAAAGCCCGGGGUUCAACCCCGGCCCGCGGUUGAACCUGG
rnacentral:rRNA from 1 species